AGUGAACGCUGGCGGUAGGCCUAACACAUGCAAGUCGAACGGCAGCACAGUAAGAGCUUGCUCUUACGGGUGGCGAGUGGCGGACGGGUGAGGAAUACAUCGGAAUCUACUUUUUCGUGGGGGAUAACGUAGGGAAACUUACGCUAAUACCGCAUGCGACCUACGGGUGAAAGCAGGGGAUCUUCGGACCUUGCGCGAUUGAAUGAGCCGAUGUCGGAUUAGCUAGUCGGCGGGGUAAAGGCCCACCAAGGCGACGAUCCGUAGCUGGUCUGAGAGGAUGAUCAGCCACACUGGAACUGAGACACGGUCCAGACUCCUACGGGAGGCAGCAGUGGGGAAUAUUGGACAAUGGGCGCAAGCCUGAUCCAGCCAUACCGCGUGGGUGAAGAAGGCCUUCGGGUUGUAAAGCCCUUUUGUUGGGAAAGAAAAGCAGCAGGUUAAUACCCCGCUGUUCUGACGGUACCCAAAGAAUAAGCACCGGCUAACUUCGUG
rnacentral:rRNA from 1 species